rnacentral:misc_RNA from 1 species
AAAGAAUACAAAUAAAUGAAUCAGUAAGGAUCCUACAAAUUGAAAUGAAAAUUAUACAAAUAAUACAUUAUGAUAUGAUGUUUAUCUAAUCUGAGCCAAGUCAAAAAAUGGUUCUAGCUUUCUCUUUAGCACAGGCUUUGUCUCUGUAGGAUUCCCAAAAACAUUCCAUAAUCUUAGUGUCUCAUCAGCUGCUGCAGUCGCCACGGUAUAGCCAUCCGGGCUCUGAGCCAUAUGAAGAACUCUUGAUGUGUGACCGAGAAGUUCAGAAAUUUUCGUCAUAGAAGGAUAUUUCCAAACAGCAAGCUGGUUGUCAAUAAAGCCAUGAGAACUCAAAAGCUCGCGGUCAUGUCUGUUCCAAAGCAAGGAACAGACUUGUGAACCUGUAUUGACAGAAUUCAAGCAUGCCCCUGUAUUGGUGUUCCAAAACUUUAUGCAUUGAUCUCCAAUGCCACCGCCUGAGGCGACCAUAUUACUCUGGAAAGGACACCAGGAAAGAGCUUUUACAGCAGAAGUGUGAUCUGUCAUACGGUGAACCCAUUGGUGUGUUGAGUUAGCAGACCCCAUCGAUAUGCUCCAUAUAUGGACCAAAUUGUCGUUCCCUCCACUAGCCAAUUGCUGGCCUGAAGCAGACCACUUCAAUCCACAUAUCUCCUGAUUGUGUCCUCUAUAUGUUCCAACUAUGUGAGAUCUUAUACGCACGUCAUUGUUGAUGAUCAUACCGUCCAUGCCCCCAGUUGUCAGUAUGUGUCCAUUCCAAUCGAGUGAGCCAACCCUUAAUCUGUGUCCUUGUAAAGUCCUCAGCAAUCGGCUAGAUCCCUGCAAGGUGUUCCACAGCUGAACGUGUGAAUUAUUCAAGCCCACUGCAAGGCUUCUUCCAUCUGGUGACCAGCUGACAGCAGUCACCGGCCCAAAAUCAUCAUCAACCGUGAGAAGCUCAGUAACAGACCCAUCAGAAGCAUCCCAUAGAUAUACAGAAUUUCCUAAGGCAAUGGCAAUUACGUUAUUGCUUCCCCAGUCUAACAAAUUGAGAUAAAAGUCAUCUAGGAUGUCAGGAGCAUCCAGGGUCCUCUCCGAAGAUUGGGGAAUGUAUCUCCUCUUUUUAACGGUUUUUGGCUGUUGUAUAGAUGAUGGAGAUUCAGAAACUCUCUCAGCCGAAUGUGGAGGCUUAUUCUUAAAAGCAAGGAUCCUCGUUCUGUUCAUGUUGAAAAUUUCUGCUAACUGCUUCGAGUAAGCUUCUUUAGAUGGAGAAUUUACUCCAUAGUGUUCCUUUUUAACCUUCCCACCACUGAGCAUGUAAUGUGCAUAGUCAAAAUCCAUCGCAGAACGAUUGGGUAUAAACCUGUCCAGAUUCUCUCGAGUUCUUUUCUUGUGAGACAUCUGAUUAACGAGAGGAGGUCGAAACUUAUUGUAUCUGCUCCCUGCAUCCAUAGAUACAGAAAAAAGAGAAUUACUCUAUCAAAUACAAAACGGCAAAAUUGCGAAACAACAGAGAUAAACCAAUGAACAGUGUUAAUAAUAGCAGCGUCGUCUUUAGCAGAUCAAUAUGAGAAUUUCUUGAUAAAGAGCGUCAAUGGCGUAUUGAAUUUCUUCAGCGUUAAUGGGGAGUUCUUU